GCCCCCAAACCAUUUCAAACACAAUUGCCGCUCUAUUAGCAAAGAACAACACAGAUGUGGACUGAGACGUGAGUGAUAUAACAACAAAGAUGCUGUAUAAAACACCAGUGGGAUUAGGAACAGUGGGAUUGACAGCUGGAAGCAUCGGAGCCUAAUCGCAGGAGAGAUCGUUGAACUUUGGAAAACAUCAACACGGUGCCGGCAUAGAUGUGAUUCUGGCGGCUUAAGUUCAGAUUCUUCUUAGGGGAGUGACACACACACUCAUGAUUGUGCUGCUCAGUUUUACAUUUUUGAUUGGGAUCUGGACAUGACCCAUGAUGAACCUGUCGCGGACAAAACUGGGAAUCUUAAGUUUUGGUAUGUACAUGUGAUGAGAUGAAGGGGACAAAAACAAAACAAACAAAGACAAGUGUUUCAACAUUACCUGUAUCUCUCUGGCGUGGUAUAUGAUGAUCAGCCCCAGGAGAAUGAUUGUAGAAAGGCUUAUCAGGCAUUUUAGAGCUAAUGAAUACAGGGACUCCUGGAAAAGAGCAACAACACUAAAGCCAAACAGAAAAACCACACAUACACGACAUAACACUAUUCACAGCUGCAUGGAAAAAACAGCUGUCACUAACAUCUGGAGUAGGUGAUUUUUUAGCCUCUUGCCACAAUUGCUGACAUUGCAUCUUGUAAAUUCCCAUUCACUCACUGAGCAUGGGCUCAGUUUGGCCUACACACACACACACACACACACACACACACGCUCACGAGACACUUCAGACUUUCAUCAACACUUUUAAGUGUGAAGUUUAUUUCACAUCCACUCACUACCAUAUAGUGUCACUAAAUCAACUCAAGCCACGCAGUGCAUGAGGGGAAAAUACGCACCUUUCCAUAGGCUCCCCAUGAGAGUUCAGUCUCUAUAACCAUAACAACGAUCCCAAACAUCCCAAAGAUUAGAGCAUAGUCGCUGAGCCGCUUCCUCUUCUCAAACAAGGCCCUCCGGUGCCCGAGCUUCUCCCCAAUGUUCUGGUUCUUCUUUUUACCCGAUUUGCCGCCACCACCACCUCCCCCUCCUCCACCGCCGCCGCCGCUGUGGCCACAGCCCCCUGCUCCGUCCCCCGAUGCGUAAGGCAUCAGGCUGCUGGAAUUGUUCUCCGGCUUGGACGCUAGAGUGUCCGACGCAUCUGCGGCGGAGAUGGGCUGCAAAGGCUGGGACUCGGAAUCAAACUCGUGUAUGUUUCUGCGGGACGCGCUCAAGUUGCUCAGCGGCCGCAUGACGCCGCCGUUGUAUC